GCUAUAUCUUGACUUUGAAAAGGGAGACUUCAGUCUUUGGAAUGCUUGAAUCCCAGAUCUUCAGGACCCUCUGUUAUUGUUGCUUCCUUCAUAAGGUCUUUAAUGAAUAUUUACAGAGCUCAAUAUUAUCCAGACCUGAAAGAAUAACAUUGUUAUCAAAAGGCAAAACUCAGUACAGACUACUUCCUUUUGAAACCUAUUUCAAAUUCUCUUUGCAACUCUCUCCCCAGGGGAAGCAGAGGAAAACUGAAUGGUAUUAUCAAGUUUUCUGUUUUCUACUGAUACACGCUGGUGCAGAGGGCUAAACCAGAGUUAUGUGCCAUGUCUUUGUCUCUGAGCUGCUUGCUAUCUGUACUCGAGUCCCUUCUGGAUUUUGAGUCAAAGAAUUUAGAUUUCUGUUCCUGUCUCUUUUCCCUGGAUUCCAGGAGUGGGAAGGUGACUCAGAACGGGUGUUUGGGAGAGAAAAAGAAAGUGAGAGGGAAUGAACGUUCUCUUUGUGACUUCAGAAAAGUGCUUUAUGUAUUAUCCUGAAAGCCAGGAGUGCUUGAGGAAUAUCACAUGUAUCCCACCUGGGGGCCGGGGUGUGCCAGCUUUUGCUGCUUGCCCUAUGGUCCCUCAUCACUAAGAUAUAAUAACUGUUCAAGUAACUGGUAACUUGAAGAAAUACCAAAAGCUAUUUUGGUAAA